CACACAGAAUUGGGCCAAAUACAGAGAAGAUUGGCAUGGCCCUAGUACAAGGAUGGCACACAGAUAGGUGAGGCAUUUCAUGAAAAA
rnacentral:snRNA from 1 species